rnacentral:lncRNA from 1 species
CCAAAGGCUCAGUUCAGUUCAUUUUUAUGGCCUGCCUUUAUUGUAUUUCAACUCUGGGGUUAUAAAGAUGAUAAAAGCACAAUUGCUGACCUCUCCAAGCUCACAUGUUGGCCAAGAGAGAGAGAGGCAAAGGAAACAUGGGCUCAGGCUGAGACACUGUCUAUGCUGCAUGAUAUUUUUGGAAGAAACGAAUCAAGUGCUAGAUUUCUUGAACAAUACUAACAAUCCAUUUCUGCAAGAAAGAUGGCGAGGGAAAGCCAAAUGGCAUAAAGAAUAGAUCCUGUGAGCACACAGCAAGAUGGCAGCUGCUGACGAGCCAGGAAGAGAAGUCUCACCAGAAACUGACCGUGCUGGUACCCUGAUCCUGGACUUCCAGCCUCCAGAACUCACAAGAUUUCUCCUUCUGCUCCCCAGAGGAAAAAGAAACCUUUGGAGACGAGCUCCUGCAACGCCCUGCUUCUCGUUUGUCUCUCUCUGCAUUUCUCUUUCCUCGUUGUUAAACCAGAGGGGCGUUCCUCCUUUUAUCCCAGGCCAAUCUCUCUAUCUCUUAUCUGGAUCUCAUCACCUCCCAUAUGCCCAGGAACUGUGUUCCUUUGAUUAUCCUCUCUCUUUAUUUCAGCCUCUCCCUUCACAUCAAUAUAUAAUUGUGCUCAGAAUGUCCUUUUUUGGGGGGGGGGGGGUGGUGAGGAAGAUUUGGCCUGAGCUAACAUCUGUUGCCAAACUCCCUCUUUUUGCUUGAGGAAGAUUGUCCCUGAGCUAACAUCUGUGCCAAUCUUCCUAUUUUGUAUGUGGGAUGCUGCCACAGCAUGGCUUGAUGAGUGGUAGGUCUGCGCUGGGGAUCCAAAUCUAAGAAUCCUGGGCUGCUGAAGCAGAGCGCACGAACUUAACCACAACACCACCGGGCCAGCCCCAGAAUGCCCUGUUUUGAAAACAAAUAAGCAAGCAGAAACUCUGCCUUGACUGCACCUUAUUUCCUCCUAUUCACAGCUGAAGUUUUUGGAGGUUGUCUAUGGUCGCCUCCCACGUCCCUUCAGCCUUCGGCGGUAGGUUCUGAACCUACUGCUUCAGUGAAAUUACUCUUGCCAAAGUCUUUAAGAACCUCCUCAUGCUAAGUUUUCAGCCUUUGUUUUCCUUGAAGUUUGGACCACUUUAUAGCAUCGUUCACUCCCUUCUGACAUGCUCUCCUUCCUUCUCGAGGCUCCUCUCUGGCUGUUCCUCUGUCUUCCAAACUCUUCCUCCUUUGCCCGUCUCCCGGGCCAGAUUUCCUCAAUUCUCUCCAAGCUCUUCACCUCUUCUCACAUUGUGUGAACAGCUGUGUCCAGGGCUUUAAGAACAACCCGUCCAAGGUUAAAAUCCUAGUAAUUCAAGUCAGCCAGACCUGGAUUUGGAUCUUAAUUCCAACUCUUUUAAGUUCUGUCAUCUGGACAAGUUGCUUAGCUCUCAUAACCUUAGAUUUCUCGUCUUUAAAAUGAACAUAAUAAUUCUC